CAGCUAGUUGGUGAGGUAAUGGCUCACCAAGGCAACGAUCAGUAGCCGGCCUGAGAGGGCGGACGGCCACACUGGGACUGAGACACGGCCCAGACUCCUACGGGAGGCAGCAGUGGGGAAUUGUUCGCAAUGGGCGCAAGCCUGACGACGCAACGCCGCGUGGAGGAUGAAGACCUUCGGGUCGUAAACUCCUUUCGAUCGAGACGAAUUUCUCCGGGAUGAAUACUCCCGGCGAGUGACGGUACCGAGAGAAGAAGCCCCGGCUAACUCCGUGCCAGCAGCCGCGGUAAUACGGGGGGGGCAAGCGUUGUUCGGAAUUACUGGGCGUAAAGGGCUCGUAGGCGGCCAACUAAGUCGGACGUGAAAUCCCUCGGCUUAACCGGGGAACUGCGUCCGAUACUGGAUGGCUAGAGGUUGGGAGAGGGAUGCGGAAUUCCAGGUGUAGCGGUGAAAUGCGUAGAUAUUGGGAGGAACACCGGUGGCGAAGGCGGCCCCCUGGACCGGUACUGACGCUGAGGCGCGAAAGCGUGGGGAGCAAACGGGAUUAGAUACCCCGGUAGUCCACGCCGUAAACGAUGGGCACUUGGUGUCGCGGGUAUCGACCCCUGCGGUGCCGAA
rnacentral:rRNA from 1 species